rnacentral:rRNA from 1 species
UAAAUCAGUUAUGGUUCACUAGAUCGUACAGUUUACAUGGAUAACUGUGGUAAUUCUAGAGCUAAUACAUGCACCUAAUCCGGUCCCUCGUGGAUCGGAUGCAGUUAUUUGCCCAAAACCAAUCCGGCCUUAGGGUCGGUCACUUGGUGAUUCUGAAUAACCGAAGCAGAGCGCAUGGUCUCGUACCGGCGCCAGAUCUUUCAAGUGUCUGACUUAUCAGCUUGUUGUUAGGUUAUGUUCCUAACAAGGCGGCAACGGGUAACGGCGGGUAGCAGCUCUACUCCGGAGAGGGAGCCUGAGAAACGGCUACCACAUCCAAGGAAGGCAGCAGGCGCGCAAAUUACCCACUCCCGGCACGGGGAGGUAGUGACGAAAAAUAACGAUGCGAGAGCUUUAUGCUCCUCGUAAUCGGAAUGGGUACACUUUAAAUCCUUUAACGAGGAUCUAUUGGAGGGCAAGUCUGGUGCCAGCAGCCGCGGUAAUUCCAGCUCCAAUAGCAUAUACUAAAGUUGCUGCGGUUAAAAAGCUCGUAGUUGGAUCUGGGUAGUCGAUGGACGGUGCGCUUUACGGCGUUACUGUUCGUUCGGCACCACAUGCCGGCCAUGUCUUGCAUGCUCUUCAUUGAGUGUGCUUGGCGACCGGAACGUUUACUUUGAAAAAAUUAGAGUGCUCAAAGCAGGCGUUAAGCCUUGCAUAAUGGUGCAUGGAAUAAUAGAAUAGGACCUCGGUUCUAUUUUGUUGGUUUUCGGAGCUCGAGGUAAUGAUAAAUAGGAACAGACGGGGGCAUU